UACGUAGGGGGCAAGCGUUAUCCGGAUUUACUGGGUGUAAAGGGAGCGUAGACGGAUUAGCAAGUCUGAUGCGAAAGGCAGGGGCUCAACCUCUGGACUGCAUUGGAAACUGCCAGUCUUGAGUGCCGGAGAGGUAAGCGGAAUUCCUAGUGUAGCGGUGAAAUGCGUAGAUAUUAGGAGGAACACCAGUGGCGAAGGCGGCUUACUGGACGGCAACUGACGUUGAGGCUCGAAAGCGUGGGGAGCAAACAGG
rnacentral:rRNA from 1 species